AUCAUUAAAAUGUCAUUUGACGUUCUCUUUACUUGUAACGGUAUUAGUGAAGUGAAAACUAUGAAGGAUGAAUAAAAGAGCUCGCACGUCAGGCUGCGGCCUUCUUUUCGUGCUGAGCAUCGAGACAAACUACAACUCCUGUUUUUACUCUUCCGAGUGGCUUACUCUUCCCUUCUACGAAAACUUGAGACAGUUUAGUUGGCGACGAGGAAACUGGACGCGGUCGUGGUGCGUGCAAUAAUUAUUUUUGUUCGGUUACAAAAAGUUCGUUUUUCCUCGCGGAGAACGAUUGGCCGGUGAGGCUUCCAAACACUGAUAAAAAAAAAUUUUGUGCGUGAGUCGGUCGUGAGUAGGGGGAGAUUCUAAGCAAAACGCGGUGAAUUUGUUGCUUGAAAAAGCCUCGUGCGGCGUUGGAAGCAACCAUUUUGUUCACGCCGGCAACUACGCGGGUGUGUGUGUGCUACUGUAGCGGAUCGGAGGAGUGGAGCUAGUGUUCCUGUUUGCCGCAGGUGCCGUGCCGCAACCAAGAGGAUCGAGAGCGUAAAUUCUUCGGGUAGUUCCUGGUGCCGGGAUUUGCAACCGGUGGGAGGAUUUCGGCUGAUUGGCUGCGGAGGUGCGGUAGUCGGUGGAAUUUCAUCGUAGGACGCCAUUUUGGACGCUGACUGGUCGGCGACGCGACGCGGCGAGCGUUGAUUUUCUUUGGUGUUGGAGGAGCUGAAACGCAAGUGAGGCCAAAUCGCCACGGUGUAAUUCAACUGUUUGAGCCGGUGCACAAACUUUUGCUUCGCUGAACGACGUUUUCCUGUGCUGGUGCACGGUGCGCACGACGAGUUUGUGCAGGAGGUUAAGUUUGCUUGCUGGCAAAGGCCGGGUGCGAGAUCGAUACUCGUUCAACACGGUUCCCAGUGGAGCGAGGACAAGAAAACGCGAUGGCGCCUAGUAGCACGAAUCGUCGUGUUGUGGAUUCGAAGAAGAUCGGUGUCGACUGGAAGCGCGGUGUGGCUAGCGCAUCGCGAUCAGCUUAAACCACAUUACCAGCAACAAGACGAACGGCCGAACCUGAUGACGCCGUUCGAGAAGUCUGCGCCGGACGCGGCAGUGGUGGAUUUGGACGUUGAGAUGCUGAAUUUAGACGAAGAUAUGUUGGGGGCCGGAUACGGCGGAAGCGGCUUGUUCCGGGGUUUCCCGGAAGCUGCAACGACACGAUCCAAAAGCCGGAAGCGAGACGCAUCCGCGGCAGAAUUGCCGGUGGUCUGCCUUCGGCGCUCGAAGAGAAUCAGGAAGCCUGUUUCAAAUAGUGAAUUUAUCUAUAGAUAAUAAUUUUACGAUUUCUGAACACUUAGUUCUUUCUCAUCAUUUAGAUAAUUUGGAUUAUUUUCUGUGUAAAUAACUACAUUACCUUUGUAAUUUCUUGAAUGAAUUUUCUUAUCUUAAAACUAUGUAUUUUCUCUAAAGGGGGAAGAACUGAUAGGUAUCGCCCUAUCAUUAAAAUGUCAUUUGACGUUCUCUUUACUUGUAACGGUAUUAGUGAAGUGAAAACUAUGAAGGAUGAAUAAAAGAGCUCGCACGUCAGGCUGCGGCCUUCUUUACGUGCUGAGCAUCGAGACAAACAACAACCCUGUUUUACU